rnacentral:other from 1 species
AUUGAAGUGCAAUAUCCAGCAAAAUAAGGAUUGAAAC